rnacentral:RNase_P_RNA from 1 species
GCAAGCUGGGCAGCCGCGCGGCGGGGGCGAAAGGUCCCGCUGUGAGGAAAGUCCGGGCUCCGCAGGGCAAGGAUAACGGGUAACACCCGCCGGGGGCGACCCCAGGAAAAGUGCAACAGAGAUAGACCGCCGCCCGCCUCCUGUGAGGGGAGCGGUAAGGGUGGAAAGGCGGAGGUAAGAGCCCGCCCGACGGCGUGGAAGCGUCCGUCGCUGUAAACUCUAUCCGGAGCAACGCCGUGGAGGGACAUAUGGUCGGCCCGACCGUCCCAGGGAGGCGGCUGGAGCGCACCGGCAACGGUACGUCGAGAUAGAUGGCUGUCUUAAAGGACAGAACCCGGCUUACAGGCUUACUUG